rnacentral:tRNA from 1 species
UGGGCUGUGACUCAGUUGGUAGAGUACUUGCCUAGCAUACAGAAAGCCCUGGGUUCCGUCCCCAGCAGUUCAU